AGUCACUGACAUUAGAUACCCCCGUAGUCCAGGGUGUAAACGCUGCGGGCUUGGUGUUGGGGGGUCCUUUGAGGGCGCCCAGUGCCGGAGAGAAGUUGUUAAGCCUGCUGCUUGGGGAGUACGUCCGCAAGGAUGAAACUUAAAGGAAUUGGCGGGGGAGCACAACAACGGGUGGAGCUUGCGGUUUAAUUGGAUUCAACGCCGGAAAUCUUACCGGGACCGACAGCAACAUGAAGGCCAAGCUGAAGACUUUGCCGGAUUAGCUG
rnacentral:rRNA from 1 species